GUAGUAAGGAGGAGUCACGAUGUGAGCCCAGGAAGAGAGGACACAUGCCGCCAGCCUCCUCGAUCAGAUAAGUGAUGGAAACUCCAGGAAAAAGAGGCCCCAGACUUGGACAAAUUGACAGAGAGCCUGCCAAAAGAAGUCUCCUAGGCAGCCAAGAUAAUACAACAGAAACAGAUUUCUUAUUGGAUUUUAGCCUUUGUGUUUUGGAGGCCCAGCUGAAAUGAGGAAGGGAAGAAAAAGCAAAGCAAGCCAUCCAGGCCAAACAUCCAGUAUUAAAGCAAAAAAUGAAGGCCAGGAGUCCAAAGAUGGAUUGUGCAAGAAGACAUCCUGUUGCCAAGUGGGGUGUCUUAACUAACUAGAGUCUAGGCUCUGAGAAAUGAAGUUCCAGCAGAUGACAGGUCAUCCUGUCAUGUACUCACCAUCUCUGAAAGCAGCUUGUUGGCGGGUGUGCUGGUCUUCUCAUGUGGGGCUGGCCAGAGAGAGGGUCAGGUGUCUCUCCAGCAGCUUCUCUGGGCCUUGAAGCAGGCUUGGCAGCUUGACUCAGGGAAGGAAGUGUCAUCUGUGCAUGUGUGUGCAGGCUGGCCUAGGCUCCCGGGACAGGGCGACUGUGGCUUGGGUUCUAUGACUAUCUUAGGUGGAGAGGAUUUGGGAGUAUAAAACUAUUUCCCUGAGGAUCUUUAACACAGCUAUCUGAAGCCCCAAAGAGGCAGAGAGAUCGCUGUAUUCUUGUGAGACAUUCUUCAGAGGGUCCUUGGCUCUUUCAUUCUAUACUUUUAAAAAAACUAUGGAACUGACAUAAGAACUCCCACUACAGCCUGGCUGGCAUUCUGGAUGCUGUCUCUAACGCCCCUGGUAACUGUGCAGGCUCCAUCUGCUAGCCUGACUUUGUAGACGAUGGGAGCAUGAGCUCACAAAGGUUUCCGAACCAGUUCAAGGUUACAGAAAAAUUGGCAUGUUUGUAGUUUUGAACCAAUGCCUGUUUGGCUCUGAAACCUCUUUCCACUACGACGUGUGAUUGCUGGAAAACCAGAAAGCCUUCAGAAACACCCCUAGAGUACAGUUUGAGGAAUAGCAGAGUCAGUGAGUCUGCAAUGAGCAGCCAGGAAGAAGAUCCACAGCUUAGCAUUGGACUCCCGGUGGCCCAGUCAAGUCUUCGUAAAAUCAACCAUCACAUCUUGCUGUGCCCGAAGUAUCUUCUCAACAGCCUCCAGGGACCCAUUUCUCCAGCCUCUCUCUCCAUGAAGUCUUUUCGAUUCCAUGAAGCCCAGUUCGCCGCAUGCCCAUAGCUUCCAUCUGCGCAUGUGCACUGGGCACAGGGAGCAGGGCCAAGGAAAGCCGUCUAUGAUUUCCCAGGAGCCACCAUGUUGGAAGAAUUUAGUCUCGUGAUCAGGAUCACAUUCACUUUGUGUUUAUCUACUGUCUAUCUCGCCAUGGUAAAUACGCCAAACACAUAUUUCACCACUUUUGUUUGUCAAAGACGAUGCAGUUACCCAGGGGGACCUAUUCCUCUGCCGGCCAUUUUAUGGUGUUUUCGGUGCCAAAAUUGCUUCUCAACUCUUUCUCUUCAUACUGACUCGAGGACAGCUUUUUAAUAUACUGCACUAUUAUUUGAUAUUAUAUCCAAAACAGCUGUUUCUAAUUUUCUAAUACACAAGAAUGAAUGGAUGAUUUUCAAAGACAUUCUUACUAAAAUUGACUCAGAUUUUUUUUAAAAAAAAUGCAAUUUGUGGAAGAAAUUGACAGGGCUGCCAUGGACUACUUAGUCUUAGAUCACUCAACAAGUUACUAAAUUUAAACCUUUGAGGAAAAAAUGUUCUUUUGGUGACUUAACUUCUCCAGAGCAUAAGGGGAAAAUCCCCCCAUUUAGUGCAUGAAGCCAGCACUCCCUUGGUGCCCAAACUUCACAGAGAUCAUGCACAUCACACACAACAAGAAAGCAUCAUCCACCCCCCACAUAUACACAACAUGUCACACACACCACACAUUCCACACUCUACAUAAAUAUAAAUAUCUCUGCACACAUACAUGAUUCACACAAAAACCAUACUUUUGUGGGGUUCUUUGAGCGCUAAAAUGAGAAUUUUUGUCUGUGUGUGUGUGUGUGUGUGUGUGUGUGUGUUUGUGUUUAUUGUAUCUCGAAAAGGUAUAACCACCUUUUUAUGCAAAGGAAUUCAAAUCUUACAACGUCCACCACCCAGAAAAACUUCUGUUUACACAAAGACCCUUCUGAAUUCCUAGAACUUGAUGGCCUAGAUCAGUGAUCAAGACCCCUCUAGGGUUAGAAUGACCUUUCACGGGGGUCCCCUAAG
rnacentral:lncRNA from 1 species